CAACCACAGGCUGGUGAAUGAAGAGAGGACGCUGGAGGUAGAAAUUGAACAGGGAGUGAGAGAUGAAAUGGAGUACCCCUUCAUUGGAGAAGGGGAACCUCACAUCGACGGGGAACCUGGAGAUCUACGUUUCCGCAUCAAAGUGCUGAAACACCCCGUGUUUGAGCGCAGAGGAGACGACCUGUACACCAACGUCACCAUCUCAUUGGUGGAGGCUCUGAUCGGCUUCGAGAUGGACAUCUCACAUCUGGACGGACACAAGGUGCUGU